rnacentral:lncRNA from 14 species
CCUUUGGGAACGACUGUAUUUUCUCGUUGCUUCUAGACUGUGCCACAGUCAAAACUCCACUUCCAGCAAGAGCAGAGGAAUAAAAACUAAGAUAGCUUCUGAGCAGCCAGUGUAGCCAAAUGCUUUGUACAACACUGCAGAGCAUCCUGCUCCUAAGGAUAAGAGCGCAUCUUGCCGUUGAUGUCAGUGGGAUGAGCCCAGAGAGAAAGCAGCAGGAUGAAGCAGAUCUAUUAGAUACAAAUGGUACAUCUUCUCAGCAUGGGAACAGUCUUGUGAGGAUUUCAUUGACUGCUGUAUUACCAUACAGUAUGUGACUGCAUCACUUGCCCUCUCCCUGUGUGUAAACGUGUGUAUGGAUAUAUGCAUCUUCCUGUGAAGAAAGGCA